GUAUUAUCUGAAAAAUAACAAUGAAAAAUGCAUUGAGAGGCAUUUUACUGAUGUGAUCUGUGAUGAUAAAGUUAAACUAGCCUGUGAUGUCAAAACAUGGCAUCAAAUAUUAGGACACUGUAAUGUAAAUGAUGUUCUGAACUUACAAAAUGUCGUUGAGGGCAUGAAAGUCACUGACAACAGUAAAAUAGAGUGUGACAUAUGCACAGAAGGAAAAUUCAUUAACAGCAGAAACAAAGAAUCAGAUGUUAAAGCUGGAGCACCACUACAGUUAGUCCAUACGGACUUAUCAGGCCCCAUUGAUCCUGCAGGCUUAGAGGGACACAGAUAUGCAAUUUGUUUUACUGAUGAUUUCUCUGGAUUAGCGACUGUCUAUUUUCUGAAAAACAAGAGUGAUACAACUAAAGCAACACAGAAAUUUCUAGCUGACUGUGCACCUUAUGGCAAUGUUAAGUGCAUUAGAUCGGACAACGGUACUGAAUACACAAGUGAUUCAUUUCAAACACUGCUCAGAGAAAAGGGUAUCAGACACGAGACCUCAUCACCAUACUCCCCACAUCAAAAUGGAACAGCAGAAAGACAGUGGAGGACGCUAUUUGAGAUGGGAAGGUGCAUGUUGUUAGAAAAGGGUUUGCCAAAAGAACUAUGGCCUUAUGCAGUACAGUGCGCUGCCCACAUUCGCAACAGGUGCUACAAUAACCGAACUAAAAGUACCCCAUAUUACAUGAUGACUGGAAGAAAACCUAAUCUGUCUAAAAUGUGGAUUUUUGGAUCAAACUGUUACACUUACAAUGACAAUCACAAGAAAUUAGACUCAAAAGGGGAAAAAGGAAUGUUUGUAGGAUACAGCAAAAACAGCCCAGCCUACUUAGUGUAUCACCCACAGACAAGAAAAGUGUCCAGACACAGACUAGUGAAGUUCAUUAAAGAAAAUGGCGUUAAUCAACAAACACAGACAAAUGAGUGGGAAGUAGAAACCCAGGAAAAACAGACAGACAAAAGACACGUUGAGACUCUGUUAAUCCAAGGCAUCACUGAAAACAUCAAUGCAGGUGAAGAUGAGGAAAACACUCUAGAUGAAACACAAAAUGAGAAUUUUUCUGAUAACAUGAUAAGAAAUAAAAAUGAAGAUGAGGAAAACAAAACAAAACAAAAUGACCGGUAUCCGAAAAGAGAGAAAAGACCACCAAAAUACUUUGAGGAUUACGUACCAGAUUCCAAAAUCAAAGAUGUAACACAAAUAACUGUUGAUUUUUGUUACAGGGCUGUGUGCGGUAUCCCUCAAACAUUCAGUGAGGCUCAAAAAUCAACACAAUCAGAAAGAUGGAAACAAGCAAUGACAGAAGAGAUAAACUCACUUAAAGAAAAUGAUACAUUUGAACUGAGCAUUUUACCAAAAGGUAGAAACACAGUGGGAGGAAAGUGGGUUUAUACCAUCAAAGAAAAUGAAGAGAAAGAAAAGAUCUUCAAAGCUAGAUAUGUAGCAAAGGGCUACAGCCAAACAGAAGGUAUAGAUUACCACGAAACCUUUGCACCAACAGCAAACAUCACAUCUGUGAGAGUGUUAAUGCAGUUAGCAGUUCAAAACAACCUUAAAGUACAUCAGAUGGAUGUCAAAACAGCUUUCUUGCACGCUCCAAUUGAUGAAGAAAUUUACAUAGAACAGCCAGAGGGCUAUGAAGAACACACAGGAACAGGAGAGAAGUAUGUGUACAAAUUAAAGAAAUCCCUGUAUGGGUUAAAACAAUCAGGAAGAAACUGGUACAAACUUUUAAAUGACCAUCUCGAACAAAACGAUUUUGAAAGGAAUCCUGCUGAUCAUUGUGUUUACAGAAAACAAACAGAAAAUGCCAGUGUUAUUGUUCUCAUUUGGGUGGAUGAUUUGAUCAUUGCUGCAAGCAGCAUUGAUUUUUUGAACAAUUUCAAAGAAACGAUGAGAUCCAAAUUUAACAUGAAAGAUUUGGGCAAAAUAAAUUAUUUUUUAGGUAUACAUUUUAAGCAAGAAGAAGAUGAAAUUAAAAUGAGCCAAAAGAAAUACGUCCUGAAAGUGUUGGAAAAAUACAGAAUGUCAGAUUCCAAACCGAGAUCCACCCCAUGUGAGCAAAGUGCUAAUUUAAAUGAAAAUAAUGGGGAUGACAAAACAAACACUGUAAAUCCUACACACUAUCGUGAGAUAGUAGGUAGUCUGAUUUAUGCAAUGACCUGCACCAGACCAGACAUCAGUUGGGUAGUGAGUAAACUAUCCCAAACAUUAGCUAAACCUGCGACAGAAGACCUGGUGAAUGCUAAACAUGUUUUAAGAUACCUCAAAGGUACAUGUGACUAUGAGCUAACAUUCAAGAAAAACAACGAAGACUUGAACCUCAUUGCAUACAGUGACUCGGACUGGGCAUCCUCAGUUGAGGACAGACGCAGCACCACAGGCUAUUGUUUUAGCUUAACAUCACAAGGUCCAGCUAUUUCUUGGAAAUCCAGGAAACAGCCAACUGUAGCUCUUUCCACAUGUGAGGCUGAGUACAUUGCUUUGACAGCCACUACUCAAGAAAGCAUGUAUCUAACCCAACUGUUAAAUGGCAUUGACAACAAAAAGUACAGCUGUACAAAAAUCCAUGGUGAUAAUCAAGGGGCAAUCGCAUUGUGUAAAAAUCCUGUGAACAGACAGAGAUCUAAACAUAUUGAUGUAAAGUACCAUUUCAUACGUGAUGCGUUGAAAGAAGGGAAAAUCAAUGUGAUGUACUGUCCAUCUGAAAACAUGGUUGCCGACAUCCUUACCAAACCUGCACCCAAAGCUAAGUUUGUUAAAUUCAAAAAAUGGUUCUUUGGACACUAAAUACUGUGAAGCAAGGAUGAUGAGAACAAGGGGGAGUGUUGGAGUAUGUUCUCAAUCAGCCUUGUCUGUGUGAUGUUAUAUGUUUCUUUUAGCACUUUAUUUUGAUAGGCACGGAACGUGGUUCUAGAUCCUGCUGAGUGUGUUUUUACUUCCUUUGUUUUGUGAGUAUUUCCG
rnacentral:lncRNA from 1 species